AAAAAUGAGUCACAGGAAGGUUCGUUCCCAAGGAAGCGUGCCCUUCUCAUGGGAGGACAGUCCCGGAGUUUCCAAGGCUGCCCACCAGGAGUGCCCUGCAAAUAUAGGAAUCUAUGCCCUUAACCUACCCCUACCCCCAUCCCCACCCCCAUCACUACCACCAUCCAAUUCACCUCCUCAGGUCUCUAUUCAAAACGUGAAGAUCCCUCUUCCUCCAUGCCCAGAUCAACCUCCGCUUAGAAGAACUUCGUCAAAGGGCCUCUGGGGGCAGGAGGAGGACCCUUUUCUCGCAGCCUACAAGGAAUGCACCAAAAGUGUUGAAAGUGCUAAGAAGCCUAAAGAAAGUAAGAAAGGAUUUGGGUUUGGAAGAAGGAAGUGCAAGUUUACAUUUUCAUGCAAGCAUUCAUGCGAGGUUGAGGACGACAGUUGGAUGAGGCUUACUCAUCUUCCCCCACUUCCCAAAGUGAGAGCAAAGGUUCGGGGGUUGAGGUGAGACUGAGAGACAGCAGUCUACCCAGUGUAAGGAGGAUGAAGCAGUGCUCUGGUACUCAUCAUCUUUUUUCAAAUAUUCUAACUUAUAUGAAUGUAAAGAUGAUUUGUUAAGGAAGUUUCAGUUUAAUUUUUGUAAUUUUGUCUGAAUUUGAUGGGAUUGUGCUCUCCGUUUUUCUUGGUGGCUUCCACAUUGGGUUUGUCAUCCGAUGUUACACUUCUGGUAUCUGAUUUUACUUCAAGCAACAACUUACAACUCACAAGAGAUUGCAGAUUAAUCUGUUUGAAUUUCUUUCACCUGAUUAACUUGGUCAUGCCUUGUUUACAUAUUUGUUUUCUUUAUCAUUUAGAAAAAUAAGAUUCCCCAUGUAUUUAUCGUAUCAAAAAUCGUUUUUUUUUCCCUCUUUUGCAUCAAUUCUUUUUGAGGACUUGCUGAGAAUUGUUCUAGAUGAGCAUUAGGUCCAUAAUGCAUGAGAUAUUAAAAAAAAAGAAAGAUUUGAUCUGAAGUGGUUAUGAAAAGUGGGGCAUUUUGGUUUGAAUUUAGUUGUUAGUUCAAAAGGGCGUCAUUGGAGAUAAUAUUUUAGGGGAAAUGCUCCAGUAGGUGCACUGGAAUGUAGGAUUAGUGUGCUCCAUUUUGAAGUGUUGCUUUCUUGGAACAAGGAAUUUGCUAAGGGGAUGAUGGCAAGAGCUUUUAAAAAUAAUGUCAGUCAUUGAACAUAGUAGGACUGAAAUUUGAACUGCUGAUAGGCAUAGCUGAGCAAACUAACCUAAUUAGUUUGCACAUUUGUGUCCUUGUGGGUAUGACAGAAGGUUCAAUAAAGGAAAGAAAACAUAUGGUUAUGAGGCGGGGCAGCUCUUUUCUCCAUUGCCUUAAUAACAAAAUAUAAUUAAACCCUGAACAACCCAUGGUUUUAGCACACAUCUACUUGUUGAUUCUUCCUUUAAUCUAGCUAACAAUAAUUCCAACAUUUCUGUUCUUACCUGCUUUGUUUUUCUCUCUAGUCUGCACUGAAAAAAAAAGGAAAAGAAAAGAAAAGAAAAGAAGGCGCCGUAAUCUGUGCGUUGAUAAAACUCAUAAAAGAGUGGAUGCUUAAAACAGGGGAAGAGGCUAAUCAUGAUUGUAACCGUCCAUUCACUUUCUGUGCCUUAUUCAUUGCAAUUGAAUGACUAAUUGUAUCACCAGUACUGCACAGUUGUGUCCUUUUCCCCCUUUCUAUUAUUUAGUUUUUGAGCUCCCUUGGAGUUGAAGCAAUUUUCCUUCUGGUGAAAGUUUUUUUUCUUUAAGGCAGUGCAUUUUGUCUAGUCUUAGACAUGAAGGUCCUGUAGCUGCCAAGGCAUCAAAGCAGUGCAUGUAAUUAUCUCCUUUUUUUCCCCCUUACAAUCUUUUUGUAUCUUUUCUGUAGUUCAGUAAGUAUGCAGAUACAACUAAAAUGAAGAAGUUGGCUUGAAUUACGGCUCAUAUAUAUAAAUAGUAGCGUGUUAGCUUUGUGGGUCCCUGCUAAGCGUCCAUGGAGUACAAUGAACAUUUCGAAAUGCUUUGAACAGAGCCAUGAUACAUAUUAUAUAAGAUCCUUGAAAUCUAUAUAACCCCUUCCUCCACUUCUCCGCCUUGACUGCAUGAUUGCUAAAAGUUCUUCCCUGAAUUGUCUAUGCAACAACCAGUUUAACCCUUGUGAAUCCAGUGUUUUUCUUUAAGAUAAAGCCAUGCUGGAAUGCCAAAGUCUAGUGUGGAAAAGGCCAUUUUUGGCCUUAGAGGGUGUUCUUUUUGGCUCCAUUUACAAGGGCUGUUUGCAUUGAGGGAAGGUUAAGUUCCAAGGUUUAACUUCUUGAACAAAUUUUGCUAACAUGGGAAGUGGGUUUUAUAUUUGGUGAAGAAAUUUAGAAUAAAAUUAUCACAUGAAGUUCUCAAUAGUCUUAAAAUGAAAUAGAAAAUUCAAAGUCUGUAGAUGAAGUUCCUUAACCA
rnacentral:lncRNA from 1 species